rnacentral:lncRNA from 1 species
AUACUAUGUGUAAAUUGAUGUAAUGUAACACCCGGCUUUAAGGGACAAAGCCAGGUGCAUCUCAUACAUGCGCCAUGAAGACAACAUAUACAAUAACAGAGUGUAUAGAGAUAAAUGUCAUAAUAACAUCAGAGUACUUAUUACAUAGCGGAAGACUUAUUACAAAAUAAAGGAAUAAAUGUAAAACGAACUAAGGAUCGUCGGCGCAAAUGUCGACUGAGAAACGCCACCUAGAUCAGAUCAUACUCCUCGCCUUGUGGCUCCUCCUGAACCACCUGUUCUUCUCCUGUGGGGGGGUGUGAGACAGCAAGAGUGAGCUCACAUACGUUCAUCGCUCAACAAGUUGUGGGGAAUAAUGUGGCAUGAACUCACCAAAGGUGGGAGUUCAUGAAGUGUAAGGCUGACCAAUGAAAUAGAGGCUGAAGCUGAGCAUUGCUUUUAUAAGUUGGUCAAAAUUUUAUUAGCAAUUACUAAGUGUAAGUAAGUACCAAACCUUAAUAAUAAUAAAGAACAGUAAUAGUAAAGUAAUCCCAAAUGCGAUGCAAAUGUCAAAUUGAAUUUAAGUUCCAUAAUUAAUCAUGUGAGGGUCCGAGCCGCUCUUGACCGUGAGCACGGCUAGUAUACCAGUUUUACACUCUGCAGAGGUUGCGCAUCUUUACCCACAAGUCAUGUUACCCAUCUGCCAAGAGAUGGCCAAUCCCAUACACCUCUACCGAGGAGGCGAGGCAGGGUAACACUACGAGGCCUUUACAAAGUUCCACUAGCUUCAGAAAUCCCGCUACAGUUUAUAGGAAGCUCCAGUGCAGGGUUCUUGCCUGACCGCCAUCGCAGCAAAAUCAACCCAAGGACCUCCCUACACUGACCACUCCCCUACUGCCCUUGCCCCUUUCGGGUAAGGAAGACCUCCACUAGCUUUCCUAGUUAAUCAGCCAAGGGCGUCCCAUUAUACCCUUGUGGUAGCACUGUUUUCCCGGGUGGUCGCUCCAUGUUCCCAUUAACAUAAUGAUCUUAACAUGAACAGUAAUAAUAAAAGAGAAUAAAAGAGUAAUUAUGAAUAAAGUAUCUUCAUACCCAAAUCCACAUAAAGCAAUAGCAGGUACUACCCAAAGAAAUAUUUCAGUGGUGAACAAGGUAUAAAGAUAGCCAAAACUAGGAUAACCUAUUGGGUCCCAUCAAAAUUAUCCUAUGCAGAUCAUUAUAAUUAAUAAGAACAUGGCUGGGAAAAGUAAGUGAUCAAGGGCACAACUUGCCUUCAAUGAGCUCCUGCUCAGCUACUUCUACUUGUUGAACCUCAGAAUCCACAGUGGCUUGCUCGUCUAUUCGCAUCAACACAAUACAUACAUAGUAUAGCCAAAAUCAACAUCACACCAAACAGAUGAAUAAAAUAUACAGUAAAAAUCUACACAUUAAAAUGAAAUCAUAGGAACUGGAAUCACUAAAUUUGGAGUUAUAGAAUUCAAGUUAUGAAUUUCCUAAGGUUUAAUGUGAUUAAAAUAGGAUUAAAUGUUUAAAUUAAUGUUCUUACUGUUUUUAUGCCAAAACAGAGAUACUAAAUGAUAGAGAAGAUUAUUACAAAAUUUUAGAAAUUGGAAUGGGGUAAUUUGGAGUUCAUAUGAGUUUUCUAUGGAAUAAACAAGUCCUAGGAGUUGUUUUUUAUUAAAAAUACAUUUCCUAAUUUAUUUAAUCUGAUUUUCCUUUCCCUGGAUUGCGCCCCAAUAUUCAGAAAGGUUAAGGGCUCAGGCGUAAGAAAACCCCAGACUCAGAGGGCUGCAGCAUUGGACGGCGGGUUGAUAAUACAAAACCCCAGGGUUUAUUUUACAAAUCCUGCAGCUGAAGGGGUACGGGAGGAUUGCAGCCGCUCGAUUAGAUUUAAAUGGCCCGGAUUAGAAAAUGAAGAGGUAUGCAUCCAGAGCCCUAGGAUUUGAGAUCAAUGCUCUGGAUUUUAAAACGCCAGGAACACCCCUCGCCCCUCCAUCCAUCGAUCAACGGCCAGGAUGGGCCAUGGCCGAAACACCAUCCUACACCUAUUCACGAUCGCACAAUCACGAUCCGACGGCCAUGGCUCUUCUCUCUCACCUUAAUCCCGAGACGGCGGCGCAUGGCCCUGACGCGGCGGAGCCAUGGCCGGCGCACUCCCAAAUUCGGCUCCAUCAAUCGAACUUCGAUCCGAAGGCAAUAUCACGCAAAGGAUAACGAUGCGAUACGAUGGGGAGGUUGCUCACCGUGAUUCCAAGAGUGCCCCGGGCCAUCCACGGGGAGCGGCGGAUCCCAGCGUUCGACGAUGAAUCCCGGCCGCCACAGGGUCAAUCCUUCCCUAUCCGGCCACGGGUGUUCCACCGGCCAGCACAUGAAGCUUCUGGACUCAUCGCAGACCCCCAAACGUCAGUCGUGGACGGGGACGAUGCUGACGGCGUCCCUGCUCUCAACUCUCUCUUCUGCUCAGGCGCUGGCGGCCGAGAAGUGCGUCGCGGGUGGAUUCGAUCGUGGAGGCCGCGCGGUCAGUGACAGGACGGAUCGAUUUGAGGUCCGUGAUGCCGGAGUUGGCCGCGGCGGUGGUUUAUUAUGGCCAUGGCGACCCGCACAGAGGGAUGAAGCCUCGGCUUCCGCACAAGAUAGGAGAGGGAAUACGCGGUGGGGAAAUCGUUUGGAGGAGAGCGAGAUGUGUGGACGCAUGUGGGCAUGCUCCCGAGUUCGCGGUCGAACCAGGUCAGCGCGAUCCGAUCCCCACGGGGAAGAAGAAGACCGCGCCAGCAAGGUGGGUCCCAUGAGCAGAGAAGGAGCUUCACGCCCAAUCCUACCACGACUGAGGAGCGGGCCCGCGCGGUCAGCGUGUAGUCGCCCGGUUAAUUUCGCGCCUGACGGAUCGGCCCACAAGCGGGUGAAGGCCGUAGCGCGCGCGUGUGUAGCAGAGAAAAUGAGGUGGGCCGGCGGGGAAAAGUAUGGAGAUGGGCCGGGAAGGAAGAAGGUUGGCCCAAGCGCAGGGAAUUUUUCCUUUUCCUUUUUUUUCUGCUUUCUUAUUUAUUCCUAAUUCAUUUGAAUUUGAAUUUUUAAUUCCACUUAAGUGCAAAUUCAAGUUGACGUUAACUAUGCAAUUUAGUCACACCAUCAUAUGGUGAAGUUAAAAUACAAGUUUUUAGAGAUAUAAUUAUAUCAUUUCUCUUCUUCUCAUCUUUUCUCAAUUCUUUAAUUUUCUUUAGAAUUUAAAUUCCACCUUGGAUUUUUAACAUAUUUCUUGUUACCUUAUCUUAUGUUGUCACAAAAUGCACACAAAAAUAAAACCCCAGCAUGAUGCAUAAUUUAUUUUUGGGUGUCUUUUGUUAUUUAUUUAUUUGUCUUCGUGUGAUGUUCUCAUGAAAUGAUAGAUAUAGAUAACAAACAUAUAUACAACAAAAUAUCAUUUCUCCUUUUAGGUUAUCCUCCACAAAUCACAAGUUGGGUAUUACAAAUCCUACCCCCCUUAACAAGAAUCUCGUCCUCGAGAUUUAGGAGGAACGAAGGAAAAGAUGGGGAAAAAUCUAUGUGAAGCUCUUCUUCUCUCUCCCAUGUAGCUUCAUCUUCUCCAUGGUGACUCCAUUGUACUUUGCACAUUUUUAUAAUCCUUAUUUCUUGUAACUCGAGCCAAAGUGUCAAGAAUCUUGAUAGGAUACUCCUUGUAAACCAAACCAUGAACACUGAGCCCUUCCAUUGGUAACUGUUCCUCAGGGUCAAGGAGACACUUCUUAAGUUGAGACAUAUGGAAAACAUUAUGCUCACCAAAUGGAUUAUCAGGUAGCUUGAGUUGAUAGGUCAUCUCUCCAACUUGCCUAAAAACUCAGAAUGAUCCAAUAUAGCAAGGGGACAAUUUUCCUUUGACUUUGAAUCUUCUCAUACCCCGGAGUGGUGACACCUUCAAAUAGACAUAAUCUCCCUCUUUAAACUCAAGCAGUCUUCUCCGGGUGUCAGCAUAACUUUUCUGCAUGGAUUGUGCAGUUCUCAAAUUCUCCCGAAUUAUACAGACUUGUUCUUCUGCCUCUUGAAUAAGUUCAGGUCCAAAGAACGGUCUUCCUCCAGUCUGGUCCAAAGAUAGAGGAGUUCUGCAUUUCCUGCCACAUAGAGCCUCGAACGGGGACAUCUUCAGCCUGGCCUGUUAACUAUCAUUAUAUGAAAACUUAGCAUAAGGUAGACUCUUGUCCCAACUACUACCAUGCUGAAGGGCACAAGCUCUCAACAUAUCUUCAAGCACUUGGUUGGUUCUCUCAGUCUGCCCAUCGGUCUGGGGAUGGUAAGCCGAACUAAAAUUCAAUCUCGUAUCCAUUGACUCGUGUAACUUCUUCCAAUACCGAGAGGUAAACUGCGAUCCCCGGUCUGAUACAAUCUCCUUUGGCACACCAUGCAGGCAGACAAUCCGUGUCAUGUACAACUCUGCCAACUUAGCUCCUGAAUAUGUGGUCUUCACUGGAAUAAAGUGGGCUACCUUAGUUAGCCUGUCCACAAUCACCCAUAUAGAAUCAUAUCCAGCAGACGUGCGGGGUAAUCCAACAAUGAAGUCCAUGCCGAUCUCUUCCCAUUUCCACUCAGGUAUCUUCAGUGGAUGCAGUAGUCCGGCUGGCCUCUGGUGUUCAGCCUUAACUCUUUGGCACACAUCGCACAUACCACAUGUGCAGCUACAUCUCUCUUCAAUCCAUACCACUAAUACUUCCGCUUCAAAUCCUGAUACAUCUUGGUACUGCCAGGAUGAAUAGAAUAAUCUGAAUCAUGGGCCUCCCUUAAAAUAGUCUCUCGAAGGCUUUCAAUAUCAGGAACACACAUCCUAUCCUUGAACCAUACGGUUCCUUGCUCAUCUUCCGUAAAUUCCGGACCUCGACCUUCAGUAAUCAGAUCCUUGAUCUCUUGUAUUUUAGCAUCACUAAUUUGACCUUUGCGGAUUUCUUGCUCCAAAGUAGGUUCCACAUCAAUAGUAACUCCUUUAGUGUGGGCAACUAUCCCCAGGUUAAGUAUCCUGAAAUCCUCAACAAUCUCAUCGGGUAGCUAGGCAACAAUAGCUGAAUGAACAUGCUCCUUGCAACUCAAGGCAUCUGCAACCAAAUUUGCCUUGCGUGGGUGAUAGUGAAUCUCCAAAUCAUAAUCCUUAAUAAGCUCCAUCCAACAGCGUUGCCUAAGGUUGAGAUCCUUCAGAGUAAAUAUAUACUUCAAACUCUUAUGAUCCGUGUACACUUGACACUUGGUUCCCAUAAUAUAAUGUCUCCAAAUCUUAAGCGCAUGCACUACGGUUGCCAGUUCUAAGUCAUGAGUGGGGUAGUUCAAUUCAUGUUUCCGUAACUGACGAGACGCAUAGGCGAUCACAUGUCCUUCUUGCAUGAGCACACAUCCCAAGCCUUGGCCACAUGCAUCACAAUAAAUAUCAAAUCCUUUCUGUAGGUCUGGCAUAACCAACACUGGUGGUGACAUUAAUCUCUUCUUUAAUUUAUCAAAGCUUUCUUGGCACUUCUCGUCCCACUUAAACUCUCUUCCCUUCUCUAGAAGUGAGGUCAUAGGCUUCGCAAUCUUAGAAAAUCCUUCAAUAAAUCUCCAAUAAUAUCCUGCAAGUCCCAAGAAACUCUGAAUCUCAGUGACGGUAGUGGGCACGCUCCAUUCCAUUAUCUCCUUCACUUUAGCAAGAUCCACUGCUAUUCCUCCAUUAGAAAUAAUAUGUCCAAGGAAUGGCACCUUGUCAAUCCAAAACUCGCACUUGCUAAACUUGGCAUAGAGUUGAUUAUCUCGUAGCUUCUGUAGCACCAAUCUCAGGUGUUCCUUUUGAUUGCUAUCACUCUUGGAAUAAAUAAAAAAAUAUUGUUGAUGAAAACCACGACGAAUCUGUCCAGAUCAUGAACACCCUAUUCUUCAUUACCAUAAAAUAAGCUAGUGCAUUAGUUAAUCCAAACGACAUAACCGUGAACUCAUAUAAUCCAUAUCGGGUCGAUAAAAUCGUCUUGGGAAUAUUCGAUGGACUAAUCUUCAUUUGGUGUUAACCCGGUCGGAGUUCAAUCUUCGAGAAUACCCUUGCACCUCUCAUCCGAUUAAAUAAAUCCUUAAUGCGGGGUAACAGAAACUUGUUCUUCACAGUAACAUCAUUAAGGGACCUUUAAUCCACGCACAUCACUUGCGAUCCAUCUUUCUUCUGUACAAAUAGAACUGGUGCUCCCCAAGGUGAGGAACUCAGACAAAUGUACCCCGCCUCUUGUAAUUCCGUUAAUUGCUUCUUAAGUUCUUUUAACUCUUCUACAGACAUCAUGUAUGGCCGUUUGAAAGUAGGGGCAGUUCUAGGUAAGGGAUCAAUGACAAACUCAACUUCCGUAUCUGGUGGCAUCCCUGGUAACUCCUCUGGAAAGACAUCCGGAAAAUCUAUAACCACACGGAUGUUGACACCAACAAACUUCCCAUCGACUAAGAAUGCCGCUAGUUUGGUGGCGGUAGUUACUGCAACUUCAACUUCAAACCUUUCUUCUUUGGGACUGGUGAGUUCUACGGUUCCUUUAGCAUAGUGUAUAAACUGUCUUUGCCUUUCUUAACCAUGACAUACCAAGGAUCACGUCUAUAGUGCUCUCUUCUAACACUAUAGGGGUAGCACAUCUGGGUUAGAAACAUAGGGUAAGAAAGGAAGAAUUGUAGACAAGGUGAGUAAUUACGAGAAAUGUUACUGCGGGGGAUUUAUUAGUUAAGUAGAUUAGUGUGUUAUCCACUAAAGCUAAUACAUUACCUUAUGGUGGAACAUGCUAAGAUGCCCAACUAUAAUGUUUCAAUCAAUCAAAGAAGCAAAUCAAGCAUUGAUCAUCAGCACAAUCAAACAACGUUUUUAAAUAUUGAAAAUAGUUUCGAUUUUUGUCUUAGGCUUCCUAUAUCUUAAAAGUUCAUAAGUGUAGGAUUCCAAGGUGUGAAAUCCAUCUUGUCUUAGAGUUGAAAAGAUAAGAGUAAUCAAAGAAUGACAGCAAAAGGUGAGACAGGAUCAACAUAAGGUAAGUAUAGAAUGAAUCAGAGUAAGGUAAGUAGGUAAGGGUUGUCCAUUUCUAUCUAGGUUUCGUCCUACAGUCAACAUUUCCUCUGAUACCACUUCUGUAACACCCGGCUUUAAGGGACAAAGCCAGGUGCAUCUCAUACAUGCGCCAUGAAGACAACAUAUACAAUAACAGAGUGUAUAGAGAUAAAUGUCAUAAUAACAUCAGAGUACUUAUUACAUAGCGGAAGACUUAUUACAAAAUAAAGGAAUAAAUGUAAAACGAACUAAGGAUCGUCGGCGCAAAUGUCGACUGAGAAACGCCACCUAGAUCAGAUCAUACUCCUCGCCUUGUGGCUCCUCCUGAACCACCUGUUCUUCUCC